rnacentral:rRNA from 1 species
UGGGCGGAAGCCUGAUGCAGCAACGCCGCGUGAGGGAUGACGGCCUUCGGGUUGUAAACCUCUUUUAGCAGGGAAGAAGCGAAAGUGACGGUACCUGCAGAAAAAGCGCCGGCUAACUACGUGCCAGCAGCCGCGGUAAUACGUAGGGCGCAAGCGUUAUCCGGAAUUAUUGGGCGUAAAGAGCUCGUAGGCGGUUUGUCGCGUCUGCUGUGAAAUCCCGAGGCUCAACCUCGGGCCUGCAGUGGGUACGGGCAGACUAGAGUGCGGUAGGGGAGAUUGGAAUUCCUGGUGUAGCGGUGGAAUGCGCAGAUAUCAGGAGGAACACCGAUGGCGAAGGCAGAUCUCUGGGCCGUAACUGACGCUGAGGAGCGAAAGGGUGGGGAGCAAACAGGCUUAGAUACCCUGGUAGUCCACCCCGUAAACGUUGGGAACUAGUUGUGGGGUCCAUUCCACGGAUUCCGUGACGCAGCUAACGCAUUAAGUUCCCCGCCUGGG